UACAGAGGGUGCAAGCGUUGUUCGGAAUUAUUGGGCGUAAAGCGCGUGUAGGCGGCUUGGCAAGUCGGGUGUGAAAUCCCUCAGCUCAACUGAGGAAGUGCGCCCGAAACUGCUUGGCUUGAGUACCGGAGAGGAUGGUGGAAUUCCCGAAGUAGAGGUAAAAUUCGUAGAUAUCGGGAGGAACACCGGUGGCGAAGGCGACCAUCUGGACGGAUACUGACGCUGAGACGCGAAAGCGUGGGUAGCAAACAGG
rnacentral:rRNA from 1 species